UACGUAGGGGCCAAGCGUUGUCCGGAUUUAUUGGGCGUAAAGAGCUCGUAGGCGGUUCGGCAAGUCGAAUGUGAAAUCUCCACGCUCAACGUGGAGGGGUCAUUCGAUACUGCCGUGACUUGAGUACGGUAGGGGAGUGUGGAAUUCCCGGUGUAGCGGUGAAAUGCGCAGAGAUCGGGAGGAACACCCGUAGCGAAGGCGGCUCACUGGCCCGGUACUGACGCUGAGGCGCGAAAGCGUGGGGAGCAAACAGG
rnacentral:rRNA from 1 species